rnacentral:lncRNA from 1 species
AUUCACCUUUCCAACAUGUGCCAUGCAACAAACUGGGUCACUGAAAACCGCGGAAGUUUAUUCCUCACCCCCCCCCCCGCCCCCGGACCAGGUGGGUUGCGCCCUCAGGGAGCUGAGCCGUCCCCGUGAGGCCCCUUCGCUGCCAGCACAGUUCAGCUGUGCCGUCCCCAGCGCUGCGGUGCCUGUAGCUGGUGUGCGGAGGAAUCGUGGUCAGAAAUGUGCACACGUGGUCCAGACAGACGGCCCCGUGAGUCUCCGAACAGAAAAGAGGGGGGCGAGGCGGAGUCCUGAAGGCUAGGCUUGCAGAGGCGGGAGAACCAGGCAGGGGGCCACGGGCCUGCGGGGCUCCGGACAGCGACAAGGGCGGCGCCCCCCACCCGCCUGCGCUCCCGGAAGGCCGAGUCUGUCAGCGCUGCCUGCGGUGUGUGGCAGCUGCGCGCUCCUUCCCUGUGGGGCAGAGCUGGCUGGAGCCACCGCCUGAAGAAACUGGGCUCUGUCCUCCGCUCCGGGGAGGGGAUCGUGGCCAGUGGAUGCUGAGUUCCUUCUGUUGCCUGCCGCAGCCCACAGCGAAGUCACUCUGAAGAGCAUCUCGCUGGCCUGCGCUUCUGCUUCUAGGCGGCUCUGACCUUGACACCCCUUUCCUCUUCUGCUUAUGCCUUCGAAUCCUACAUUAAGGGAAAUGGGGAUCCUGUUUUGAAACCAAAUGAGAAAGAACCACAACCCUCAACUUCAAAACACUUCCAGUCUCCUGAAGGUUUUUUAGAUUCGGAGAUCUCCACCCAUUUCCCAGGGUCCUUGAAAUGUUUCCUGGAGCCGCGCCUCUCCCAGUGCUCUGGCUGGAGACAGCAGCGGUGGCUGUCUUCCUCCGCGUCCUUGUGAGCACCCAGUUUGGGGUGGAAGAGUCAAAAAAAAAAAAACCCAGGAACGCCCCACCCUGUCGUUCUCAGGGUCCCCCGGCUCCCCCGGGCUUCCUCUCUCCGCCUCUCGUCUUCCUGCGUUUGUCUGAUGGGCACUGCCCGAGGUUUCCGGUUGCACCUGCGGGACGGAGGAAAACGCACGCCUGUUCCAUCUUCUUAGGAGGGGAAUUCUGAGGCUUUUUGAAUGACCACCGUGUAGCGCCUUAAUUCUCCUUCACUUUCACCGGUUUUGUCUGCCCCACCUCAGGAAGACUGUCUGUGUUCUUUCCUCCAUAGCCCGGGCACCGAAGGCACAUGCCGUGCAUACAAAUUUCCUGUCUCGUCUCAGACUCCACACUCUCACUCUGUCUCCCAGGCUGGAGUGCAGUGGCGCGAUCUCAGCUCACUGCAACCUCCGCCUCCCAGGUUCAAGCAAUUCUCCUGCAUCAGCCUCUGGAGUAGCUGGGACCACAGGUGCACACCCCCACGCCUGGAUGAGGUCAUAGGCUUUGUCAGCUGUACCCGCAGUCUCCCUGUGCACCCAGCCACGGUUAGAGGUCACUGUCUUGACCCUGGCGGUGACCCUUGCUCUUUGCAGUUGUGCCACCCACUCUGCAUCCCUACUUGCAGCAGCUUAAUCUGGCCUCUUUCAAAAUAAUUUCAACCGACGUCUACCUAAACCACCUGCCAAGGAGUCCUGGAGAAGUCACGCACAGCAGUGCCUCAGCAGGCAGGUCCACCUACAUGGUCCCAGCUGUGGAUGUGAAAAUUACCCUGUGCCUUGGCACCAGCCCCCCUCAGCUGUGGUUGCAGGUUAAUCCUGCUCCUACGAGGACCCAGAGAGAGACCCACCCAUCUGAAACACCCAGAGGCUUGCGGUGGGUCUUGUUCCACAGCAGAUGCUGACGGGACCCUCUCUUGGCUCUAGGCCCUCUCGGCUGUGACCCAGGAGCCCUCUUAACAACACAGGGGCCUGCUGGGAGACUCGCUGGUCUAGGCCACCACGAUAGGGUUGCUGGCCUCUGUCCCAUUGCAGAGCCUGAACAAGCUCUGAAUGCUGACUCCAGCCCCAUUCUACUGCCACCCAGGAGAAGUUCCAGUCACAUAGGGAACUGCUAGAGUCUCACCCACCAGUGCCCCUGGAUGGAGCUUAAUGAACUUGGACCCUUGCAGAUCCUGACACAGCCCUGGGGCUCGGGUCUAGCCUUUCCUACCAGGCUAUGAUCUGGGAGAGUUCUGCCGAGCCGGGGUCCUGCCAGGAGACACACAAUUCCGUCCCUGGAGUAGGCUUGCCAACCUCUGUCCUAUGGCAGAUCCUCAAAGGGCCCUGGACCUCGGUCCUGGCCCAUCCUGCCUGCAGACUGAGAGUGGUUCUGUCCACCUGGGGACCCUGGAGGCACACGUCUAGCAGUGCCCCUGCAGGCUGACUUCUGACCUUGGUCCACGGGGGAUCUUCUCAACUGGCUCCAGCUCUUCUCAGCUAUGACCUGCGACCAGGCCUGCCCACCCAGGAACCUGCUGGGAGAUACGCCUGUCUGCACUUCCCCAUCC